rnacentral:rRNA from 1 species
GACGAACGCUGGCGGCGUGCCUAAUACAUGCAAGUAGAACGCACAGUUUAUACCGUAGCUUGCUACACCAUAGACUGUGAGUUGCGAACGGGUGAGUAACGCGUAGGUAACCUGCCUGGUAGCGGGGGAUAACUAUUGGAAACGAUAGCUAAUACCGCAUAAUAUUAAUUAUUGCAUGAUAAUUAAUUGAAAGGUGCAAUUGCACCACUACCAGAUGGACCUGCGUUGUAUUAGCUAGUAGGUGAGGUAACGGCUCACCUAGGCGACGAUACAUAGCCGACCUGAGAGGGUGAACGGCCACACUGGGACUGAGACACGGCCCAGACUCCUACGGGAGGCAGCAGUAGGGAAUCUUCGGCAAUGGACGAAAGUCUGACCGAGCAACGCCGCGUGAGUGAAGAAGGGUUUCGGAUCGUAAAGCUCUGUUGUAAGAGAAGAACGGGUGUGAGAGUGGAAAGUUCACACUGUGACGGUAUCUUACCAGAAAGGGACGGCUAACUACGUG